rnacentral:pre_miRNA from 1 species
CCCACACCCAUGUGUAUAGGACCCCAAAGGCUCACCAUUAAAUUUGGCACAAAUAUUUAGAAAAAUUAUUAUAUGGGUGUGGGACUUGAAUUUUCUAGAGAUCUGUGCCAAAUUUAAUGGUGAUCUUAUGGGGGCCUAUACACAUGGGUGUGGG